GGAAGUUUAGCUCAGUGGUACAGCGCCUGCCUGGCAAGCAUGAGGGAGGUCCUGAGUUCAAUCCCCAGUACUUCCU
rnacentral:tRNA from 1 species